rnacentral:tRNA from 1 species
GGUGCUAUGGUAGAAUGGUUAUCACGCGUCUCUGAUAAGGACGAGAUCAUGGUUCAAUUCCAUGUAGCACCACCA